CUGUUGGUUGUCUCUGACUAGAAUUUGCUCACAAUUCUCCUCACGGAGAAGUCCAUCAGAAACAGCAUGCAAAACCUCCUGAACCUCCCAUGCAAAAUACCUAUUAAUAUCUCCUGGUGUCUUCCCUUCCCUCUCCCCUAGUCUAAAUCAUUCCAUGGGGCAGAAAAAUGCCACCUGGCUACCAGUGUAGACAAACAGGAAAGAUCAAACUGACUGUCCUCAGUCAUUCUUUCUGAAAUCAAGGACUAUGCUCACUAUGAAAACUGAAUGGGAACCAUAAGGCUUAGCAGCCAGCCAGAAGACCACAUUGGAGGGACUGUCAACCUCUUCUCUGUGACCAAUACCUAGAUAAAAGUUCAGUGAAGUGGUUAAUUGUCCAUCCAAAGUAAACAAUGAAAGAUGAUAGCUGUAUAAAAUAAUAGAAGCCUGAAGAGUCUCAGACACUGUAUAGCACUGGCAAAGUACAUAUUUUGGAUACUGGCUGUGCGUCUAAAUAAGAUGUGAGGUCUGAAUGGGAUAAAUUUUCUGAACCAGUCCUGAGGAAUAUCUACCAGUGUUUCAUCUUCCUGGGCUUUGGGUUUUUCUGUCAACCAACACAAAUGAAGAUAAGCCAGUCCUCCUCUAGAAUAUAUUGCUCGAGCCUGUGUUCCUGCCCCGGGAAAGAGAGAUGACCCUCCUCCUAGUGCUUUACGUUUUCAUUUCAUCUUCAAUAAUGCAAGAAUAAAUGCAUAAAAUGGAAAUGGACUUGAGUAUGU
rnacentral:lncRNA from 1 species